AAAGUGGAGCAAUCCAUGAGUAAAGUGGCGCACGGGUGAGUAACACGUGACUAACCUACCCUGGAGUGGGGGAUAACUGAGGGAAACCUUAGCUAAUACCGCAUAACACCUACGGGUCAAAGGAGCAAUUCGCUUUGGGAGGGGGUCGCGGCCGAUUAGUUAGUUGGCGGGGUAACGGCCCACCAAGACGAUGAUCGGUAUCCGGCCUGAGAGGGCGCACGGACACACUGGAACUGAAACACGGUCCAGACUCCUACGGGAGGCAGCAGUGGGGAAUUUUGCGCAAUGGGGGAAACCCUGACGCAGCAACGCCGCGUGGAGGAUGAAGUCCUUCGGGACGUAAACUCCUUUCGAUCGGGACGAUUAUGACGGUACCGGAAGAAGAAGCCCCGGCUAACUUCGUGCCAGCAGCCGCGGUAAUACGAGGGGGGCGAGCGUUGUUCGGAAUUAUUGGGCGUAAAGGGUGCGUAGGCGGUUUGGUAAGUCUUAUGUGAAAUCUAUGGGCUCAACUCAUAGACUGCAUGAGAAACUGCCGGGCUUGAGUGUGGGAGAGGUGAGUGGAAUUUCCGGUGUAGCGGUGAAAUGCGUAGAUAUCGGAAGGAACACCUGUGGCGAAAGCGGCUCACUGGACCACAACUGACGCUGAUGCACGAAAGCUAGGGGAGCAAACAGGAUUAGAUACCCUGGUAGUCCUAGCCCUAAACCAUGACUGCUUGGUGUGACGGGUAACCAAUCCCGCCGUGCCGUAGCUAACGCGUUAAGCAGUCCGCCUGGGGAGUACGGUCGCAAGGCUGAAACUC
rnacentral:rRNA from 1 species